UCUGGCAAGGUCGGAAUGAUUUUGCGAUGAGCACCGCCUGGAUUCUGCGGUGAAGGCGACUGUGCGCGGUCACGGCCUCACCUGUCCGUGCAUCUGCCCAUCUUGUCAGGCAGAUCAACAUCAACCUGUAAAACGGAUGACUUAGGCCGGGCGUGAUGGCACCCACCUGUAAUCCCAGCUACUCAGGAGGCUGAGGCAGGAAAAUUGCUUGAACCUGGGAGGCGAAGGUUGCAGUGAGCCGCGAUUGUGCCACUGCACUCCAGCCUGGGCGACAGAGCGAGACUCCGUCUCAAAAUAAAUAAAUAAAACAUAUGACUUAGGUAUACACGCAUGGGGGUAUCCUCGUAAAGCAAGAACGUGCUGCACAUUCUGGGGACUGGGACAGGAGAAGCACACGAGUAGAUCUAAGUCACUGGAAAUGCCUGGUUUGCUGUUGGAGGUGGGUUUGCAGGUGCUCGUUAUAUUAUUACACUGUUGUAGUAAAACGAUGUUAGUUACAGUAUUAAAUUGCAAAUGUCAGUAUCCAUCACCGCCAAAACAGCGUGCAUACCACUAGCAUAUAAUUUUUGUAGUUUUUUAAUGUUAAGUUUGUAAUGAAGUGCACAAGCUUAAUUAUACAUUGGCUGAGGUUCUUUGUUUUAAAGACAGUCUUGCUCUAUGGCCCAGGCUGGAGUGCAGUGCGUGAUCAUGGCUCACCGUAACCUCAAAUUCCUGGCCUCAAGCGAUCCUCCUGCCUCACCCUCCUGAAAGGACUGGGAUUACAGGCGUGAGCCACCAUGCCCAGCCUCCUUUUGCUGAGUUUUAACAAAUACAGUUGUGUAACCGAAGAUGCCAUCAAGACAAAUAGAACACGUCCCUCACCCCAGAAAAUUCCCUUAUGCCCCUUUCCACUGCUACCAUGCCACCUGUUCUGAUUUCCUCACUAUGGUUCCGCCUGUUCUAAGAGUUCACACAAAUGGAUGAUUGGGUACAUGUCGUUGUGUGAGGCGUCUUUCCCUUAGCGUCAUGUUUCUGGAGAUUCUUCUGUGUUGUUUAACGUCUCAGGAGUUUGUUCUUUUGAUUGCCAAGCAGUCCAGUGUAAACACACCGGUGUGUUUAUCUGCUGUAUUCAUGGACACUUGGAGCUGUCUCUAGCUAUUGGCUAUCAUGAAUAAAGUUGCUGUUGACUUUCUUUUUAAA
rnacentral:lncRNA from 1 species